UGUUUACUAGGCAUAUGUGAUCGUGCUAAUGGAUUAUGUGAUAACACAUCUGUCUGUAGCCUUGGUUAUAUAUAUGGUGCAUACUGCAACAAAACCUGUGACGACGGAUAUUUCGGUACAACUGCACAAGGUUGUGUAAUUGUGCAACUGGAAAUUGUAGCGCAUUUACAGGAAACUGUCCUAGAGGUUGUGCAAAGGGAUGGCGUGGCGAAGCAUGCGAUGAAGUUAAAUCUAAAUUGCUGUCGGAAGAGUCGUCUUAAGCGGGCGCGAUAGGAUGAGGUGUUGCUGCUGUUAUAAUCGUGAUAAUAAUGGUGGAGACAUUGAUAGUUUACAAGUAAGUUUUAUUGUUCAUGCAGUAUAGCAGGUAAAAUAAACGAUUACAAAUUUU